GGCCGCCCCCGAAGCGCUGCUGUCACCCCGGCCGCGCCCCCCAACUUUCUGCACAGUCGCGGAGCUGGAAGUUUCCGGGCUUCGCGGACACGCUGGGCUGGGUUUCAGUCGCGGCUCCGAGGUAAACAAGCAAGUUCCACGCCCCAGUCCUGCUGGGGCCUUCGCCAGCCACCGCUCUGGGCUCAUCUCCCGGCGCCUCCUCGGGGCACCUGAGCGUUUUAAGCCCCACUGCCAAGUGUUUUGGACACAGGUUUUUUUGCGGGGUGGUGAGGUUGGGCACAAGAUGCUUCCUAAAAGGUUGUUGGCACGCAGACCAUGGCCCCAGUGACGGAGCGGUAGGCAGGGGCUUGAGGAACACGCUGUCUUUGUCUCGUCCCCAAAGCACCCGGCCGUGGGUCACCCGUGAUCCCUGGAGUGGAGGGACUGUUGUGACCCCUGGUGCUCCAGGAGAAGGGGUUCCAUGCUGGGUCCCGGGCCCAGGCCCACGGUGCCCUCAGCCUGCAGUUCUCCACCUUGCGGAAUGAUUUGCUGGCCCGGCCCAGCUCCCCGGCACCACCAUUUUCUGCCCUCUUUUCCCUGCCUGGCUUCAAACCCUCCCAGGCAAGGGUCCCGAGGAGACACCUGGGCUGGGGGAGGCAACUGAGUGGCCCCAGGCCUGGGAAUCUGCAAAAGUGGCCAAGCCACAUCUCUCGAGACUGCAAGGGCCCUGGAGGCGCUGGGAGGCACAGAUCUGGCUGCCAGCUGGGCCUGAGGCCUCCCUUUGUCCGUCCUUCCUGUUCUUCCUCACCAGGUGUGUUUACGGAGAAGACACUCCGGGCCAGGCCAGCUCCUCCAGAGCACUAUUUCAGGCUGGGGAGAAUGCGGAUUUUUUUUUUGUUGUUGUUUUUUAAAGAAAAAUGAACAAGGAGCCUGGUUGGGGAUUGGGGUGGGAGGAAUAUUUGUCUUUUGUCCCACAAACGUGUGUGAUGCUCCAAAGGGCUGGAGAACCUCUCUCUUAAGUGGAUAUUUUUCCCCUCAAACGACUUCUCAGACAUGAUCCUCUCUGAGGUUGGUCCUGGGCUUCCAUACGUGAUUCAUGGAAGAGGUCUCAGCCCCAAGAGCCCCUGAGGGUACUGUCCACUCCCCCUGGAAACUUCCAGAACCUGACGUGGGGCUGAAGACAUAGAGGUAAUGGGGAUGGGCUGGUGGGGCGCUGGCUGGGACAAUGUGUGGAGCCCUUGUUUUCAGAGCUACAGAUGCUUGUCAGCUGACAGUUCGUUUCCAGCAUCCACAGUGGACCUCCUUUGGGGGAGCAUUUACCUGCCAAUGAACCCCAAGAUCCUUUCUCAGAGGCGGCGGGAUGAAGUUUUCCUUUUUUUUUUUUUUAGUUAAUAUAUUUUAUUUAAACCAAUAUAUCCAAAAUAUUAUCAGUUCAACAUACGAUCAAGAUAAAGAUUAAUGAGAUACUUUACAUUUUCAUACUAAAUCUUUUUUUAAAUUUUUGUGAGUACAUAGUAGGUAUAAACAUUUAGGGAUGAAGUUUCUUACUGUGUUUUCCCAGUAACAAGCACUGGCAUCAGCUGUCAUGAUUUCUCCCCAAGGCCUAGGAUGGUCAGCCUCGCACGCUCCACAGCAGAGUGACUGAAGCUCUAUCGAGGUGUGGCACGAGCGUGUUGUCAUUUCAAGAGAAUCUGCAGCCUCCCUGGUUUUUAAUGAAAGCUCCUAUGCAGGGCCUGGCCCUUUCCUGGGGAGGGAAGGCUGGCUGUGUCUCCCGCUGCAUCCUCACUGGGAACUUCAUUCCUGAGCUGCGACCGCUAUUUUUUGGAUUGGAAAAUGCCUUGGGAACGGCUCAUCUUCCUGCGGCUUGAGCCCAUUUGUUUUCUGACUGGUGGUCACUGGUGAUUAGAGUGUGUCCCAAAGGGAACCGUCACCUUAGUUCUAUCAUACACUAUCAAUAACUUGUCCAGGGCUGACUUUGUGGCUGUGUGGCUUGCCCAGUGGUAGAGGGCCGGUGUGCAGAAGGGCCCCACACUCAAUGUUUGGCUGUCCCCGGUCUUAAAAUUCUUAGUCAUUCUUGAACAAGGGAACCCAUAUUUUCAUUUUGUUCUAGGCUCUGAGAGUUACAUAAUUGAUUCUGACUUUGGCUGUUGGUCAACAGUGUCAUAAGGUAAAAUAAGGGUGGAGUGCAGUGGCGCAGUGGUGCGAUCUUGGCUCACUGCAACCUCCGCCUCCCGAGUUCAAGCGAUUCUCCUGCCUCAGCCUCCUGAGUAGCUGGGACUACAGGUGCGCACCAUCAUGCCCAGCUAAUUUUUGUAUUUUUAGUAGAGACGGGAUUUCACCAUGUUGGCCAGGGUGGUGGUCUCGAUCUCCUGAACUUGUGAUCCGCCCACCUCGGCCUCCCAAAGUGCUGGGAUUACAGGCGUGAGCCAACGUGCCCAGCUGAUUUUUAUAUUUCUUUUACUAAAUUCUGUUUACAGAAAUAAUUCCAGAUUCUAUGUAAGAUACAAAUAUUUUAACUGAAGAUCAUUGUAUUUAGGGAAAAUGUUCACCUUUAAGAGACAGGGGCUGGGCGUUGUGGCUCACGCCUGUAAUCCCAG
rnacentral:lncRNA from 1 species